AUAUCACUAAGCGGAGGAGAAGAAAUUAACUAAGAUUGCCCUAGUAACGGCGAGUGAAGCGGCAAAAGCCCAAAAUGUAAAUCUUGUGCAUUUAUGUACACGAAUUGUAAUUUAGAGAGAGUUUACUCAACGGGUGGGGUCGCAGAAGUGACCACGAACGGUCCGCCAAAGAGGGUGACAGCCCCGUAUGUGGUGGCCCCGCUUAACGAGUGGAUUUUCGAAGAGUCGGGUCGUUUUGUAUUGCAGCCCUAAGUGGGAGAUAAACUUCUUCUAAGGCUAAAUAUUAAUGGGAGAGCGAUAGCGCACAAGUA
rnacentral:rRNA from 1 species